rnacentral:rRNA from 1 species
GACGAACGCUGGCGGCGUGCUUAACACAUGCAAGUCGAACGGAAAGGCCCUGCUUUUGUGGGGUGCUCGAGUGGCGAACGGGUGAGUAACACGUGAGUAACCUGCCCUUGACUUUGGGAUAACUUCAGGAAACUGGGGCUAAUACCGGAUAGGAGCUCCUGCUGCAUGGUGGGGGUUGGAAAGUUUCGGCGGUUGGGGAUGGACUCGCGGCUUAUCAGCUUGUUGGUGGGGUAGUGUCUUACCAAGGCUUUGACGGGUAGCCGGCCUGAGAGGGUGACCGGCCACAGUGGGACUGAGAUACGGCCCAGACUCCUACGGGAGGCAGCAGUGGGGAAUAUUGCACAAGGGGCUGAAGCCUGAUGCAGCAACGCCGCGUGCGGGAUGACGGCCUUCGGUUUGUAAACCGCUUUCGCCUGUGACGAAGCGUGAGUGACGGUAAUGGGUAAAGAAGCACCGGCUAACUACGUG